GGGGAUGUGCUUAUGAAGCUUAGUGUGACUAGCUAAUUAUUUCAAUUUGGUUAGUAUGAACAAUGGAGAAGGUUGACGUUGAUUUUCAUUUUAUGUAAUUUUAAAAUAAAAAAAAGUUGGGCCAAAUAGUUAUACCGAUAUUACUAAUUUGACCCAAGUUAAAUAGGCAAAACUGAGGUUAAGUAGGACCCCAUCAGCACCUCAUAUUUCCUCAAAAUUGAUGGAUCUCAUU
rnacentral:lncRNA from 1 species